rnacentral:rRNA from 1 species
UACGAAGGGGGCUAGCGUUGCUCGGAAUCACUGGGCGUAAAGGGUGCGUAGGCGGGUUUUUAAGUCAGGGGUGAAAUCCUGGAGCUCAACUCCAGAACUGCCUUUGAUACUGGCGAUCUUGAGUCCGGGAGAGGUGAGUGGAACUCCGAGUGUAGAGGUGAAAUUCGUAGAUAUUCGGAAGAAACACCAAGUGGCGAAGGCGGGCUCACUGGCCCCGGUACUGACGCUGAGGUGCGAAAGCGUGGGGAGCAAACAGGGA